rnacentral:rRNA from 1 species
AACGAACGCUGGCGGCAGGCUUAACACAUGCAAGUCGAGCGCCCCGCAAGGGGAGCGGCAGACGGGUGAGUAACGCGUGGGAAUCUACCCUUGACUACGGAAUAACGCAGGGAAACUUGUGCUAAUACCGUAUGUGUCCUUCGGGAGAAAGAUUUAUCGGUCAAGGAUGAGCCCGCGUUGGAUUAGCUAGUUGGUGGGGUAAAGGCCUACCAAGGCGACGAUCCAUAGCUGGUCUGAGAGGAUGAUCAGCCACAUUGGGACUGAGACACGGCCCAAACUCCUACGGGAGGCAGCAG